rnacentral:rRNA from 1 species
UACGUAGGGUGCAGGCGUUAAUCGGAAUUACUGGGCGUAAAGCGUGCGCAGGCGGUCUCUUAAGACAGGUGUGAAAUCCCCGGGCUUAACCUAGGAACUGCGCUUGUAACUGAGAGGCUAGAGUGUGGCAGAGGGGGGUGGAAUUCCACGUGUAGCAGUGAAAUGCGUAGAGAUGUGGAGGAAUACCGAUGGCGAAGGCAGCCCCCUGGGAUAACACUGACGCUCAUGCACGAAAGCGUGGGGAGCAAACAGG